rnacentral:rRNA from 1 species
UACAGAGGGUGCGAGCGUUGUCCGGAAUCACUGGGCGUAAAGGGCGCGUAGGUGGCGGCUUAAGCGUGCGGUGAAAGCUCGGGGCUCAACCCCGAGUCGGCCGUGCGAACUGAGUCGCUUGAGCACUGUAGAGGCAGGCGGAAUUCCGGGUGUAGCGGUGGAAUGCGUAGAGAUCCGGAAGAACACCGGUGGCGAAGGCGGCCUGCUGGGCAGUAGCUGACACUGAGGCGCGACAGCGUGGGGAGCAAACAGG